AUAAUAAUAACUGUACCUACCUCAUAAAGUUGUUCUGAGGCUUAGGUGCAGUAACUCCCGUAAAGCGUUGACAUACAGCAAGUGCUCUACACACACCAGGCUGUUUUAAGUACACGUGUAUCCGUACACAAUUCCGUUGUUUAGGGGUUUAGACACUGGCAAUAAAACGUUUCUUUUCGUCUAAGCUGCACCCUUAUUUGUUUUCCUCGAACAGUAGAAUAAAUACCUAUCGACUGACAAGUCGUCUAUGGACCUCUGGCCCACAGCCGCACGGUUCCUCCACGUCCGCGGCUGAGCAAAGGAGUUGCACGCACGCGCAAGAAAGGAGGCCGGAGGAGUGAGACUGAGGAAAAGAAGUGAGAGCGGCGAACAGCGACGAUUCUGCGCAUGUUCAAGGCGCGGAUAUUGGGCGGGAGAGACGGGAUAACCUGUCCGAGAUUAUAGCGCUACUUGGACUCCGCCGAAAAAAUCACUAAAAAAAUCGCCAAAAAUUACUUCGACCAAAGGGCAGUCCGUGGGGCUUCGCCAGGGUUGCCGCAGACGGUUUUGACCUUUAGGAGAGAGCCAAUUCUGGAGAACAACCUAACUUCUUUGAUUGAACACUCACAUAAUGCAUUGGAACAUGAUAGGAGAUUAAGCUGGGAACAGGGGCUGGGAGAUUGCUACUGCUUGUCAGCUGUUGUAUAG
rnacentral:lncRNA from 1 species